rnacentral:lncRNA from 1 species
GGGACUUUAUGCAUCAUGUAUUUACGAAAUUUUGUGGGUGCAAUUGCGGCUAUUGCACCGAAAACAAGGAUAUUGCAACAUAUUAUGGACGUUGCUAAAGGGUGAAAACGUAGUAGUGAGCGUGGCAUUCCCUCCCCACAGUGGCAUUCCCUCCCCUCCACCUCUACAUGAACUUCGGUGGUGGCGUGGGGCUACCCAUGGUGGCACUACAACUCCGGCAUUGGCUCUCAGGCAUCACAGAUCCAGCGGGAUGGAGCCACUAGGGUGCGUAUCCAGCGGCGGAGAGGCACCAUGGCGUGCAGUGGCGGCGGCGAUAGCCUGUGGACGGGAUCAAUGGGCCCGUGGAUGAGCUCGGGGCCUAUCCAAGGGGGUUUUCCAUGUUUUGUUUUAUUAUUGGAUUAACAAGGCGGACAUUUGAACCGCCUUGGUAAAGCAUUGAUUUAUUAUGACCUUUCCACCAUGGCGGUUGCAAAAACCGCCUCGGUUAGUGCCUUUUGCCUGCCACGGUUAAAUUUUUCUGUAGUAGUGGCAACUUCUCCGCAACUCAUGAAGAGAUCACGACACAUUAUAUGCUUCCUUCAUGCAAAAAGUAAAUUUGGUAAAGACAAAAAUCAUGAGAUAGACAUGAAAAAAUGUGUGACUACCUGUGAAUUGGCUGAUAUAAAUAAGCAAAGAGCUGACGAAACAAGAGAAACUUUUCUCUCUUCUUGAAGCCAUUCGUUCCUCGAACUUGAUGAUUAUAGUGGGUUACAAAUGUAGAAACUAUGAGUACUUUGGGACAAUGGAGCAAAACAUAGCAGAUUAAAUACAAUAAUUUUGAGAUUUAAUGCCUUGAAUCUUGGAUGGAGACAUACUGCGUAUCAAAAUUAUAGAGCUUGACAAGACCUAAAACUUUGAAAUUGGAACUUUUUUCAUUUGAAAUGAUUUAGGGGCUGAAAUAUUCGAGACAAGAUCAUGAAAAAGAUAGCUAUCUAGAUGUAUACUCACAAAAGAGUUUCUAGUGAUGUAGUGGAGCAUUUUUUUGUACAUGUGUAAGGUUUUAGGUUUGAAUCUCUAAAGAUUCAUUUUUUUUUGGUUUUUUAGGAUUAAUAGUGAGAAUUGAUUAGAACCGGAUGGCUUGCUCGUCUUUGAAAAUUAAAAUGUGUACCUCCAAAAAUGCUCCCAUAAUGAUUGGUUAAAAGUAGAUGACUUGUCCAUCUCUAAAAAAACAUCUGCCUUCGAAAAUGUUCUCUGUGACCAGUGAGGCAUUAUUAAAGAUGUUGGUGGCUUCUAGAAGGUUAACGAGCUUUAACAGCUAAUAGGUUCUUGGAAUGUAGGUUGGAGGUGUACAUGAACUAUUAACAUCCCUUUAUCAACUAAUGUGUAAAAAGCUAUAUUCUACUGGGUGGAAAAUAAUCUUUUAAGUUUUCUCUUAUUGAGUUGGAUGUGACAUAAAUGGGCCUUUGGCUAAAAAUAAGCUCCAAUUGUCGAAGAUAUAUGCUCUAAGAGCUGGCGCGGAGAGAUCAGUGAAUUUGUUUAAGGUUGUUCAUGUGGUGUUCUCACUGAGUGAUACCAAUAACCUAAUAAAUGGUCCUAAAAUGUG